CGCGUAGGCGGUUUAUCAAGUUAGGUGUGAAAGCCCUGGGCUCAACCCAGGAACUGCAUUUAAGACUGAUAGGCUAGAGAUCUAGAGGGGAUAGUGGAAUUCCAAGUGUAGAGGUGAAAUUCGUAGAUAUUUGGAGGAACACCAGUGGCGAAGGCGACUAUCUGGCUAGAAUCUGACGCUGAGGCGCGAUAGCGUGGGGAGCAAACAGGAUUAGAUACCCUGGUAGUCCACGCCGUAAACGAUGAGUGCUUGAUGUUGGAUGCUAACGCAUUCAGUGUCGGAGUUAACGCGUUAAGCACUCCGCCUGGGGAGUACGGUCGCAAGAUUAAA
rnacentral:rRNA from 1 species